GCCGUGCACAAGCCAGGAAGAGGGCCCUGGAACAGAAGCCAAAUUUCCCGGCACUUUGCUCUUGGACUUCCAGCCUCCAGAACUGUGAGAAAAUGAACUUCUGUUGUUUAAGCUGCCCAGCCGGUGGCUGCCCUGGCUGCAGGGAGGGACGUGCUGACUGUGGACCCAGGACUGAGGGGGACCAGACCUGGGGGGACAGGACACAUCAGUGAGAGACAGCUGUGGGUCCCCCCCCCCGCCCCCAGAGAGGAGCUGAGACACACCUGCCUGGUGGGGCACCUGAAGGGUCCUCAGUGUGACCUGGGGUGAGGUGCUGUCAGAGCCCAGGGGUGAAGGUGAGGGAGGGUCUCAGCCACACUCUGCCCCAGCUCUCUGCCCCUGUACCCAAGGCCCUCCCUGCUCUCCCCAGUAAAGAGGCCAGGAACGUCCUCAGUCUCUCUGGUCACUCAUUUGGAAGUCCUUCCUGCUCUCACCUCCUGCCUCCUGCUCUCACCUCCUUCAUUCCUGCUGCACCUCAUCCUACCGCCCUGGCUCAGACCUCACCCCUCUGCCCUCCAGUGUUGGGAACAGUUCACUUCCCACUGAGCAGUGGGCUCCAGGUGAGAGGCUGGGCUCUGCCUGAGGCUGAGAGAAGGAAAGGCUCCUGGCCAGGGGUUGGGGAGGGAGCACGGGCACAGCCAGAGGAAAAGCCGAGGGGGUGGAGGAGGUGAUGGGGAAAGAUGUUCUCACAUCAUCAUCAUCGUUUUUCUCUCACAAUCUGAGGGAGCCACCCUCUCCCUAGGCCCAGGGCCAUGACAAGAGCAGCAGGAGGAGAGAAAGAUCCCACAUGAAAGAAAAAUAUAACUGAUUCCUCCUUCUCAUUCUUGCCUGUUCUGGUCAAUUUGAUUUCCAAGUUACACAUGAAGAGGAUCCCCCUUCCAGGAGAUGGAGCUGAAUUCCUCUCCUUGAAUUUUGGCUGGAUGGGGCAACUUUCUUCCAAAACAUAGAACAUGGAGAGUGAAAGUUACCACUAACGAUUAAGAGCUGGAGACCAUGGAGACAUGGCUGGUGGUGCUGGAAACUGCGGGAGCCUAGCUGAGCUCUGGCAACUGGGAGAAGCCUGAACACUGAAUGGGAACCUGCCUAGGCAAGCUGCAGACUUCUUUGUUUUUGUUUUUCCUGAGAGAUGGUACCUCUGACUGGCCUGGUUUGGCAAGAGGAGGCAGAACUGUGUGUGUUUAUGGGUGUUUGGUUUUAAGAGACUUUGAGACUUUGAUAGAGUGGUGCCGUCAUUCUAAAUCCAUAUAACUUUUACUAAAUACUCCCUUUCCUUUUCACCUAACUCUGGCACUGGGAGUUACGUUUUUUGGUGAUGGGCAAUAGAAUCCCAAAUCUGUUCCAGAACCACAUAGCCCAGCAUUCUGUUACACCACUUCUCUGCCCAGACUCUCCUAACACCUUCUCUUUACUUUCUGGAACUUUCUUUUAGCCAAUGUCAAUCACAGUUGUCCACAUUUCUAGGAGACAGUCGUGUUGCUCUCUUCUCAUUGGA